GCCCCGGUAGGCUAACUUGGAUAGACUGCGAGGUUGCGGUCCUUGCGAUUUGGGUUCAAAUCCCAACCGGGGCG
rnacentral:tRNA from 1 species